ACUUAAGGCCAUACCACCGUGAGCACACCUGAUUUCAUCUGAUCUCAGAAGCUAAACAGGGUCAGGCCUAGUUAGUACUUGAAAGGGAGCCAUCUCUGAUUGCUAACUCGGAGGAUGUUGGUC
ensembl:rRNA 5S_rRNA 5S ribosomal RNA